rnacentral:misc_RNA from 1 species
GUGAAUCAUCGAAUCUUUGAACGCAAAUUGCACUUUCUGGUAUUCCGGAAAGUAUGCCUGUUUGAGGUUCAUUUAAAUAAAAAUCGUUGUUUUUCCUGCUUUUCUUGUUGACGCGUCGGAUUGGAUUUUUCUUACCUUCGGUUAAGUGCCUUAAAAUUUUGCUUGAUUUUCGACCUUUUUUAAUUUUCUUCCUUACUUUUGAGUUAUCUAAUCCUUUAUUAGGUUCGUUCAUCCUCAUGAUUCGCCCCUUUAAUUUUUCAUUACUUGACCUCAAAUC